UAAGGAAUAUUGGACAAUGGGCGGAAGCCUGAUCCAGCCAUCCCGCGUGCAGGAUGAAGGCCCUCCGGGUCGUAAACUGCUUUAGACUGGGAAGAAACCACUUGACGUGUCAGGUGUUGACGGUACCAGUAGAAUAAGCACCGGCUAACUCCGUGCCAGCAGCCGCGGUAAUACGGAGGGUGCAAGCGUUAUCCGGAAUCACUGGGUUUAAAGGGUGCGUAGGCGGCUUGAUAAGUCAGAGGUGAAAGCCUUCCGCUUAACGGAAGAACUGCCUUUGAUACUGUUAAGCUUGAAAGAGGUUGAGGUUAGCGGAACGUGACAUGUAGCGGUGAAAUGCAUAGAUAUGUCACAGAACACCAAUUGCGAAGGCAGCUGACUGGACCUACUUUGACGCUGAGGCACGAAAGCGUGGGGAGCGAACAGG
rnacentral:rRNA from 1 species